rnacentral:rRNA from 1 species
UACGUAGGGUGCGAGCGUUAAUCGGAAUUACUGGGCGUAAAGCGUGCGCAGGCGGUCUGUUAAGACCGAUGUGAAAUCCCCGGGCUUAACCUGGGAACUGCAUUGGUGACUGGCAGGCUUUGAGUGUGGCAGAGGGAGGUAGAAUUCCACGUGUAGCAGUGAAAUGCGUAGAGAUGUGGAGGAAUACCGAUGGCGAAGGCAGGCUCC